AUUGAACGCUGGCGGCAGGCCUAACACAUGCAAGUCGAACGAGUGGCGGACGGGUGAGUAAUGUCUGGGAAACUGCCCGAUGGAGGGGGAUAACUACUGGAAACGGUAGCUAAUACCGCAUACCAUCGGAUGUGCCCAUAUGGGAUUAGCUAGUAGGUGGGGUAAAGGCUCACCUAGGCGACGAUCCCUAGCUGGUCUGAGAGGAUGACCAGCCACACGGGGACUGAGACACGGUCCAGACUCCUACGGGAGGCAGCAGUGGGGAAUAUUGCACAAUGGGCGCAAGCCUGAUGCAGCCAUGCCGCGUGUAUGAAGAAGGCCUUCGGGUUGUAAAGUACUUUCAGCGAGGAGGCGUUACUCGCAGAAGAAGCACCGGCUAACUCCGUGCCAGCAGCCGCGGUAAUAC
rnacentral:rRNA from 1 species